UUAUUCUCAUCCUCUCAUCACCCAGGAGUCUGUCUGUGAUCGUGUCUGCUGGGAGUCCUGGCGUAGAUCAACACAUCUUCCAAUGCACUGUGGGUAAUAAGAAACUCUGCUGAUAUCUGAAUUCCAAAAGAGAUUGUAUUGUGUUUUCGUUUUGCCAUAGAAGAACAGAGGAAAGAGGUUCGGGCUCCAACAGUCAUGCAACAGUCAUCAUUCAAGCUGGAUCCAUGUCUCACUGCAGGGCCCUUGUCCCUGGAGAACAUUUGGAGAACAGAAGAAAAAGCACAGCCAGGCGCAGAGGGACGCAUUAGACACACACUGCUCAGGUGCAGUCAAGUAAACAAUAUUGACAGAAAUUUUGGCUCCAACUAAGCAAACCAAAGUCGACAGUGGCAAGGAACCAAAACUCCAUCUAAAAGAAAAAAGAAAACUUGGGAGAAACCAGGCUUAUUGAUAAUAAUCAGAAAAUCAGCACAUUAGAUUGAUUUCUGAAGAAUCAUGUGACACUGUAAUGUUGUGAGAGUAAUGAUGCUGAAAUUCAGCUUUAAAUCACAGGAAUAAAUUACAUUUUAAAAUAUAUCAUAAUAGACCAUAGCUAUCUGAAAUUGUAAUAAUAUAUC